rnacentral:rRNA from 1 species
GUCCACGCCGUAAACGAUGGAUGCUAGAUGUUGCGGGUAUUGACCCCUGCGGCGUCGCAGCUAACGCAUUAAGCAUCCCGCCUGGGGAGUACGGCCGCAAGGCUAAAACUCAAAGGAAUUGACGGGGGCCCCGCACAAGCGGUGGAGCAUGUGGUUCAAUUCGACGCAACGCGCAGAACCUUACCUGGGUUAAAUCCACCGGAAUCCCUCAGAGAUGAGAGAGUGCUCGCAAGAGAGCCGGUGAGAAGGUGCUGCAUGGCUGUCGU